rnacentral:rRNA from 1 species
UUGUCUCAAGACUAAGCCAUGCAUGUCUAAGUAUAAACGCUUCUGUACUGUGAAACUGCGAAUGGCUCAUUAAAUCAGUUAUAGUUUAUUUGAUGGUUCCUUGCUACUUGGAUAACCGUAGUAAUUCUAGAGCUAAUACAUGCAGAAAGUCCCAACUCGACGGGCGGGACGUAUUUAUUAGAUCCAAAACCGGCGCGGGUCUCUCCCCCGGGAGGGCCCGGUUGCUCGGCGACUCAUGAUAACUGCUCGAACCGCGCGGCCCCCGAGCCGGCGGUGCUUCAUUCAAAUUUCUGCCCUAUCAACUUUCGAUGGUACGGUAGUGGCCUACCAUGGUUGCAACGGGUGACGGAGAAUUAGGGUUCGAUUCCGGAGAGGGAGCCUGAGAGACGGCUACCACAUCUAAGGAAGGCAGCAGGCGCGCAAAUUACCCAAUCCCGACUCGGGGAGGUAGUGACAACAAAUAACAAUGCCGGUCUAAUCUAGUCUGGCAAUUGGAAUGAGCACAACUUAAAUCCCUUAACGAGGAACAAUUGGAGGGCAAGUCUGGUGCCAGCAGCCGCGGUAAUUCCAGCUCCAAUAGCGUAUAUUAAAGUUGUUGCAGUUAAAAAGCUCGUAGUUGGAUUUCGGGGCGGCCUGUCUGGUCCGUCGCGAGACGAGCACUGGUCAGCCGCCCUUCCUCUCGAAAGCCCCGACUGCUCUUGACUGCAGUGGUCGGGGAGUUCGGGACGUUUACUUUGAAAAAAUUAGAGUGUUCAAGGCAGGCUCCCGCCUGAAUACAUUAGCAUGGAAUAAUGGAAGAGGACCUCGGUCCUAUUUUGUUGGUUUCUGGGGCCGAAGUAAUGAUUAAGAGGGACAGUUGGGGGCAUUCGUAUUUAAUUGUCAGAGGUGAAAUUCUCGGAUUUAUGAAAGACGAACGACUGCCAAAGCAUUUGCCAAGGAUGUUUUCAUUAAUCAAGAACGAAAGUUAGGGGUUCGA